UACAGAGGUGGCAAGCGUUGUUCGGAAUUACUGGGCGUAAAGGGCGCGUAGGCGGUCUUGCAGGUCCCGUGUGAAAUCCCUCGGCUCAACUGAGGAAUGGCACGGGAAACUGCUUGGCUUGAGUUCGGGAGAGGGAAGCGGAAUUCCGGGUGUAGCGGUGAAAUGCGUAGAUAUCCGGAGGAACACCGGUGGCGAAGGCGGCUUCCUGGACCGACACUGACGCUGAGGCGCGAAAGCUAGGGGAGCAAACGGG
rnacentral:rRNA from 1 species